AUUGAACGCUGGCGGCAUGCUUUACACAUGCAAGUCGAACGGCAGCACGGGGGCGAACCCUGGUGGCGAGUGGCGAACGGGUGAGUAACACAUCGGAACGUGUCCAGUUGUGGGGGAUAACCCAUCGAAAGGUGGGCUAAUACCGCAUGAGCUGGCAACAGGAAAGCGGGGACCGCAAGGGCCUUGUGCGAUUGGAGCGGCCGAUGUCCGAUUAGCUAGUUGGUGGGGUAAAGGCCUACCAAGGCUUCGAUCGGUAGCUGGUCUGAGAGGAUGAUCAGCCACACUGGGACUGAGACA
rnacentral:rRNA from 1 species